ACACUGGAGCUUUUGUUUCUGUUGAAGAUCAAUCCACUGCUCAGUUUCUUCUUCCUGCACCUUGUUGAGUUCUUUCCAGACAGAGACAAGUGACAAGAAUUAGAGGUUUAAAAAGCAACCAGAUUCAUCUCAGCAGCUUUUGUAGUUUUAAAUAAGCAAGGCGUUUCUCCAGCGAAACUUCCUCACACCUCUUGGUCUUGGUCUCUUCAGACACUUUCCUUCCUGUUCUCUGGAGAUCUUGCAGAAAAGAGCCUGCGGUGUUUCCCUUGCUCAGCCAUGCUCCUGGUGCUCAUCCCACUGCUGGGGAUACAUUUUGUCCUGAGAACUGCCAGAGCCCAGUCAGUGACCCAGCCUGACAUCCACAUCACUGUCUCUGAAGGAGCCUCACUGGAGUUGAGAUGUAACUAUUCCUAUGGGGCAACACCUUAUCUCUUCUGGAUGGAAAGAACUGUUGAAGAAGCUUUUAUACUUCUUGUUUGCUUGAAGCCUUGGAGGGUAGCAAGUAGUCUGGAGAAAAAGGAGAAGGAGGAUGAAUCUUUCCAGCUGCUACUUGGCUCAUGCCAUAAUGUAUUAGAGGGUUCCUGCAGCAUGAGAGGCUUCUCCAGCGUCCGGCUCAUGCAGUGCACCCACACCAGGUUCCUGCACUGCACAGUGGCCAGCAGUGUCCUCCAGCACUUCCAUUUUUGUGUGGUACUGCAGAACACAGCCUGCAGUGAGACACCUUCCUGUAUCCAGCUUUCCCCAUAUUCAUCCCUAGAUUCAUGAAUCGGCACCCUAGAUUAUGGUUUUCUGGGGUGAGACGAGUGAAGGUGGAGCAGAGUCCUUCAGUUCCGAGUCUCCAGGAGAGAACCAGCUCUACACUGAGAUGCAGUUUUUCUACCUCUGUGAACAACAUGCAGUGGUUGCAACAGAAUCCUGGGUUGGCCUCAUCAAUCUGUUUUUCAUGGCUUCAUGGAUGAAGCACAGUGGAAAGUUAUGGUCAAAAAGAAACUCUGAGGAGCUCUGUGGUACCCUACACAUCACAGCCGCCCACCUGAAAGACUCAGGCACAUACUUCUGUGCAGUGGAGGCACAGUUCUCCCAGGAAAUCUGCAGCCUGGAUCCGAACUGCAGCUGGGCCUGCAGCCGCAAUCCCUUCCGUGAGAGAGGCAUGUUGCCCCCACAGUAUCACUUGCACAGCUUCGGGUUUUCUGAUUGACGUUGCACUUUUAUCUCUGCUAAAAUUAGACAUUUCAGGAUUGCCAUUUAACUUUUUUGUCCUACCCUUUUGCUCUCAGAAAUCUCUUUGCAGGAAAACGCUUUGAUAUGGGACCACUGGAGCAACUUUUAAAGAUAUCAGGACCCAAUGUACUGUUAAAACAGAUCCUCUAGCAAAGAGCAUAUAAAUUACAUAUAAAUUACUGUGAUAAGAAAGGUUUGAAAAAAUACAUCCUGGUCAAGAAAUAGCAAAGAGAUGACUCAGUGUUUCAUCUAAAUGCACGUUGUUCACUUUUCUAGUAAAAGGGAAGAGAGCAUGUGUGAUGUAUAUUAUAUAUAUAUUUUUUACUCCUGGAACCCAUAAAAGAUAAAAUUUUAAAGCACAUAACGUCAUUGGGUGUCAGACAUUCUCUGAAUUUACAUAUAUUAUCUAGGUGCUGACAAUACCUCUUUACUCUACACAUGAAUAAACUGAGGAUUAUAGGGCACACAUGUCUUGCCUGAGCUCAGAUGGUUAUGAAACUAGCAAUGAAGCUGGGCUGGGAUUCUCCUUCUCGAUGUAUGAAAGCAGAGUGUGUACUCUAAGCUACACACUAUAGAAGACUCUUGAGAAUCACAAAAUACCAAUUAUUUCAAUUGAUAAAUUUGUGCAAUGUGCUCACAUACAUCACUGGCUAAUAUAUCCAUUGGGAUAAUUUCUAAAUUGCAUCUAGUAAGAAAGAGUUCAUUAAACUUUUCAUUUUGUUACAUU